AUUGAACGCUGGCGGCAUGCCUUACACAUGCAAGUCGAACGGCAGCACGGGAGCAAUCCUGGUGGCGAGUGGCGAACGGGUGAGUAAUAUAUCGGAACGUGCCCGGUCGUGGGGAUAACGUAGCGAAAGCUACGCUAAUACCGCAUACGAUCUACGGAUGAAAGCGGGGGAUCGCAAGACCUCGCGCGAUUGGAGCGGCCGAUAUCAGAUUAGGUAGUUGGUGAGGUAAAGGCUCACCAAGCCGACGAUCUGUAGCUGGUCUGAGAGGACGACCAGCCACACUGGGACUGAGACACGGCCCAGACUCCUACGGGAGGCAGCAGUGGGGAAUUUGGACAAUGGGCGAAAGCCUGAUCCAGCCAUUCCGCGUGAGUGAAGAAGGCCUUCGGUUGUAAG
rnacentral:rRNA from 1 species